CCCUUAGAUGUCCUGGGCCGCACGCGCGCUACACUGAUGCAUUCAACGAGUUUUACCUUGGCCGAGAGGCCUGGGCAAUCUUUUAAACCUGCAUCGUGAUAGGGAUAGAUUAUUGCAAUUAUUAAUCUUGAACGAGGAAUUCCUAGUAAACGCAAAUCAUCAAUUUGCAUUGAUUACGUCCCUGCCCUUUGUACACACCGCCCGUCGCACCUACCGAUUGAAUGGUCCGGUGAAGCCUCGGGAUUGUGGCCAGUUCACUUUAUUGGGAGUUGGCUGCGAGUACUUGUCUAAACCUUAUCAUUUAGAGGAAGGUGAAGUCGUAACA
rnacentral:rRNA from 1 species